rnacentral:tRNA from 1 species
GUUGGCGUAGCCGAGAUUGACGCAGCUAUGCCCCGAUGCGGCAUCCAGGAGCCGCUGUCCUGCCUCGGUGGUGAUCCAAGCGCCGGCGCC